rnacentral:pre_miRNA from 1 species
CUUGUACUCCCUCCGUCCCAAAAUUCUUGUCUUAGAUUUGUCUAGAUACGGUAUCUAGACAAAUCUAAGACAAGAAUUUUGGGAUGGAGGGAGUAAUUA